GUCCCCAUCGUCUAGAGGCCUAGGACACCGCCCUUUCACGGCGGUAACGGGGGUUCGAAUCCCCCUGGGGACG
rfam:Psychrobacter arcticus 273-4, complete genome.